rnacentral:rRNA from 1 species
AUCAACGCUGGCGGCGUGCCUCAGACAUGCAAGUCGAACGAGAAAGUCCCCUUCGGGGGAUGAGUAAAGUGGCGCACGGGUGAGUAACACGUAGGUAAUCUACCUUCGGGUGGGGAAUAACCCAGGGAAACUUGGGCUAACACCGCAUAAUGCAGCGGCACCACAUGGUGACAGUUGUUAAAGCGGGGGAUUUUAGGACCUCGCGCCUGAAGAGGAGCCUGCGGCGGAUUAGCUUGUUGGUAAGGUAACGGCUUACCAAGGCGACGACGGGUAGCCGGCCUGAGAGGGCGACCGGCCACACUGGGACUGAGACACGGCCCAGACUCCUACGGGAGGCAGCAGUGGGGAAUCUUGCGCAAUGGGCGAAAGCCUGACGCAGCGACGCCGCGUGAGGGAUGACGGCCUUCGGGUUGUAAACCGUCUUUCAGCUCCGACGAAGCGAAAGUGACGGUAGGAGCAGAAGAAGC